UCCCAAAUUGAUUUUGGGCUUUCCUCUUCUUAACAGAGAAGCCCAUCUAUUGCGCCACCAGGGAGAGUUUCUCUCCUUCUCGCGCAUCCAAUCCAUCUAGGCUUCUUCCUCCGCAGAAGGUAGGAGAGCAUUCUUCUCCUUAUUCGUUUUGUUUCUUUUUUAUCCCGAGAGGCACGGCUUAGGCGACGUUCUCGCCUUUAGAGGGCGGCUCGCUGUGGACUCGUAGAGUCCUUCGUCGCGUGAGUAGACCUUCUUCUUCUCCUUUUCUUUUUCUGGCUCGCGGUGCAUGUGGAGAUUGAGGGUUGUAGUUUGGGUUUCUUUUGAUACACGGUUCUGUGAUUCUUUGGCGAGUUGUUUUGCGUUUUGUUUAUCUGUGUUCUCGAUCUCGCAGCGUUUUGGUGUUCGCGUUUCGUUUUGGGUGUGAUACUAGGUUCUCUUUUUAAGAAUUUUUUUUUUUUAUCUUGUGCUUGGGGUUAGCGUUCCGAGUUGUGAUUUGGAGCUUUCUUCUGCUUCUGUUCUUAGCAUUUUGUGGUUCUUUAUUGAUUCUUCUCCGUGAGUUUGAUUUGCGUCUUGAAGUUCUGUUUCUCGCUGGUUUGGAUUUCCAGUGGUGGUUCUGGGUUUUCCGUGGUGGUUGUUGUUGGUUGCACGAGCGGUGUCAAUGGAGGCGCGACCAUGGAUGUUGCGGUGGCUGGCCCGAGGAAUCUUUCAUGUGCUUGAUUUGAUUUGGGUUGUGUUAAUUGGACCGUAAAUCCAUGAACAGAUUGGAAUUUGUAAUAUUAAAGACCAACAAAAAAUAAUAAGAAAUUUAAUUGGGCUGUAGGCUCAGAGGUUAGCAUCGUGUGAUUGGAUUAAGUGUUGCUUCCUCCAUCACCACACCUUUUUUCCUCCA